rnacentral:rRNA from 1 species
GAGUCGCAAGCUCGCGAGAGUAAGCUAAUCUCUUAAAGCCGUUCUCAGUUCGGACUGUAGGCUGCAACUCGCCUACACGAAGUCGGAAUCGCUAGUAAUCGCGGAUCAGCAUGCCGCGGUGAAUACGUUCCCGGGCCUUGUACACACCGCCCGUCACACCAUGGGAGUUUGUAACGCCCAAAGUCGGUGGCCUAACCUUUAUGGAGGGAGCCGCCUAAGGCGGGACAGAUGACUGGGGUGAAGUCGUAACAAGGUAUC